GGAAUUUUGGACAAUGGGCGCAAGCCUGAUCCAGCAAUGCCGCGUGAGUGAAGAAGGCCUUCGGGUUGUAAAGCUCUUUUGUCAGGGAAGAAACGGUGGGAGCUAAUAUCUCCUGCUAAUGACGGUACCUGAAGAAUAAGCACCGGCUAACUACGUGCCAGCAGCCGCGGUAAUACGUAGGGUGCAAGCGUUAAUCGGAAUUACUGGGCGUAAAGCGUGCGCAGGCGGUUUUGUAAGUCUGAUGUGAAAUCCCCGGGCUCAACCUGGGAAUUGCAUUGGAGACUGCAAGGCUAGAAUCUGGCAGAGGGGGGUAGAAUUCCACGUGUAGCAGUGAAAUGCGUAGAUAUGUGGAGGAACACCGAUGGCGAAGGCAGCCCCCUGGGUCAAGAUUGACGCUCAUGCACGAAAGCGUGGGGAGCAAACAGGAUUAGAUACCCUAG
rnacentral:rRNA from 1 species